AUUUAUAUAAUAUAAGAAGUAUACUUAAUUUCCAAUUAAAUUGUUUAAAAUAAUUUUAAUAUAAAUA
rnacentral:tRNA from 1 species